UCCCUCUUAGCUCAGUUGGUAGAGCGCGUCACUAGUAUGUAUGCAAACUUGUAAUCUUAAUGACGAGGUCAGUCGUUCAAAUCGGCUAGCGGGAA